AUUAGUGUAACAGGACUUAGACGUUGUACAGAGUAGUUAAGAAGCAAGGUAUUAAGCGAACUGAAUAAUCUUGGGUAAUGUUUUCUGAAAUUGCUAGGCACAGGGUUCCCGAGUAACCUGUUAUUGGGAGCAGAAACCCCAACACCCCAAUAUUCAAAAUACCCAAGGUUACAAGACAACGUAAAGGAAAGUCACUACUUUGCAGAAAUCAUGUGGAACAAGUAUGGAAAAAUACAAGUGUUCAGCCAGGCCGCGAUUUACUGAAGAAAUUCCAGGCGUUGCUGAGACCGUUAACAUAAUUAACCCUGACCAAUAUGAUGAAUGGGAAAAACCACUACAGUUCACAGAGGCUGAUUUUGAGUUAAACCGCAAGCCGAGUGUACUUGAUCUGAUCACCUCAAGUCUUCAUCAUCGUCCUUAUCAGCAGAAUUAGAAAUCUUGAACUCCUCAAGAUAAUAAAUUAUCGACAGGAUAAUCUCAACUGUAAAUAUUUAUUUAUUUACGUACAUAAAUAAAGU